rnacentral:rRNA from 1 species
UACGUAGGGGGGCGAGCGUUAUCCGGAUUUACUGGGCGUAAAGCGCGUUAAGGCGGCUCUUUUAAGUUGGUGGUGAAAUUUCAGGGCUCAACCCUGAAACUGCCUCCAAUACUGGAGAGCUUGAGUGCGAGAGAGGAAAGUGGAAUUCCCGGUGUAGUAGUGAAAUGCGUAGAUAUCGGGAGGAACACCAGUGGCGAAGGCGGUGGUCUGGGCCGGAACUGACGCUGAGGAGCGAAAGCGUGGGUAGCAAACAGG